rnacentral:rRNA from 1 species
UACGGAGGGUGCAAGCAUUAAUCGGAUUUAUUGGGCGUAAAGGGCGCGUAGGCGGAUUUAAAAGUCAGAUGUGAAAUUCCGGGGCUCAACCUCGGAGCUGCAUUUGAAACUUUAAGUCUAGAGGGAUGACGGAGAGAAUGGAAUUCCACGUGUAGCGGUGAAAUGCGUAGAUAUGUGGAAGAACACCAGUGGCGAAAGCGGUUCUCUAGUUUUUACCUGACGCUGAGGCGCGAGAGCAAGGGGAGCAAACAGG